CUGAUAAUACAACUUCAAACGUAACAAUAUCUUGACAAAUUAAAGACACAUUUUUUCGUGUUCAAAUAUUAUGGGAAGAAAACUCUGUUUCUUUUUGUCUUUCACGUACUUUUCGCCUGUGCGACACACACAGACCAUAGGUUUAUCGUCUCUGGCUUUAUCUUACUGUUAAAAAUGGUAUUUGAAGUUUCGUUUUAUAUCUGCAGUAACAACAGUAUUGUGGAAUCAGGCAAGAUGUAACGCCAGCUUACCGAGGUCUUCUUUAUCUGUUCUUCACGACGCCCGAUUUACACCAGGGUUACGUCUAUUGCAGUUUUUUUUUAUGAAUGCAUGGUUUAGCCCCUGACGGAUAUUACAUACCACAUAUGAGAGUAAAUAGAUAUCCAUGCCUUAAUAGGUAUUUGAACUCUUAGGUCGAAGCGGCGCGCGACUGCACAGCCAACAGGAUUGGCAACCUAACUGCAUGGUAUUUAAGUAUUCAUUCGUUUUCUGUCUGCUGUUGAGGUGAAGCGAAUGAAGAAUUAAAGAAUAGGAGAGGUUUCUAGUAGAAAAUAUUUCUCGACUUACGAGGAAAACAGUACUGAAGCAACAGCAGCAUUGAUUUUCUAUCACCAUACGAGUCAUGCACCUGAGUGUUAAUAGCUAUUGUAAAAAUAUCUAAACUAAAGUAAGCUAUCCUAAACUAAUUUAGCUUAUCCUGUGUUGAUGGAGCACUGCUUAAAAUAAAUUAUAUCACAUCAAACUAACUCGCUUGAGUUUUAUUAGUAACGCCAGGGUUACUUGCGACUUUCACCAUUCAUAAUAUAUUGGCUACACUGUGGCCUGCUCAGCUUGCCAAGGCGCAGGGCAUGAUGGGACAAAAGUUGAGAAGUAUGCGCGAGAGUGAUCGAACCUCCAAACUUUACUGCAUUGGUUUAUUUUUGUCUGCUGUUGGAAUUAUAUACCAUAUAAAGCAGAAAUAGAGAGGAAAUUUAGCAGAAGAAAGAAAUGAUGGGGAGAAGUGCCGGAAACUGAAAUGUGGUCUUACGAGUUAUGGCAUCUUGUAGUUUUAUAGGUUGUUACCAACGCUUCGGAGGAACUUGCUGCCUCCAUUUUCAGAGAAGAUGGAGACAGCUACUCUGGGACACCACCUACGAAUUUGUCAAGAUGCCAUAACCCAGAAGGAACAUGUUGCCUCUGGUCAAAGUGAGUAAGACAAGGAUGCAGUCAGGUUAUACUGGAUGUCAAGUGGAGACAGAACCCAGCCUGGCCCAAGAAGUCUUCUCUUCCUCUUCUCCUCUCCAUUGGCAGGCCAUGGCAUCAGCGGUGUUGAACCUUCAGGUUGUGCUACCAGGGGAUUAGUUAAUUAGUAAGACAGAUCUUAGGGAAGUAGAUUGUGAGGAUGGGAGAUGGAUGGAACUGUUUCAGGAUCAUGUCUGAUGGU